UUACGGCCAUAUCACAUUGACACUCCUUUUUCCGUACGAUCACCGAAGUUAAGCAACGUCGAGCCUGGUCAGUACCUAGAUGGGUGAUCGCUUGGGAAUACUAGAUGCUGUAAG